ensembl:lncRNA
GGCCGGGCCGCGCUGCUCCUGGCUGCCCGGGCCCGCCGACUUCGUCAAGUCGAGAUGCUCGUCGUCUCCCUCCCUCAGAACUUCCCUCGUUCCUCAAACACAGGGAAGGAAGAACUUGGAGAAUGUUCCUGAGAGUUUGUGACAACGUUCAUGAAGACAAAGAAAAGACAGGAAAAAAUAAAUGAUGAUCAGAGAAACUGCUUCCAUGGGGAACUGGAAGAGAAAAAACUUCCCCAGUGAAAAAAGGGUUACCCAGAGAUGUCAUGUACUUCCUCUCAUACUGUGUAUUUGCCAAGCUGUACAGACACAGAAAGGCAAUGAUAAUAGUAGGUCUAUGUAUAAAAAAAAAAAAAAAAAAAAAAAAGGACUUAAGUUUGUAAACACAAGGAGAAAGCAAUUUGUGAAUAUCAGAAGGACCUUCCAUAGUAUGGUUUUGAAAAACUAUUAAUCAUACCUUGUGUACUUACUAGAUCUUUUCAUACUAGCAUUGAAAACUGAAGAAUACAGAAGGAAGAUUAUGAAGAUGGGAUAGUGGGGGUCUUUAAUAUGUACAUUCUUUUUACUUAUUUACUUGUAUUCUAAGAUACAAUAUUAUUCUUCUGAGUAGAUAGUGAAAAUCUAUACUUCAGUACAUAGCUAACCAUAUGCAUUUGUACCUUUCUCUGCAAUUCUUAUAAAAGAUAUGAUAUGUAUUAUCUUAUCAACAAAUAUCAAAUAGACAAAUGCUUAUGCCAAAUACCCAUGUGCAGCAUCACUCUAAGCAUGCUUUUAAUAUUCACUCUCCAUUGGGUGAGGUGAGUCUUUUAUUUAGUUACACAUUUGGAUAAGCAUUUGCAGGAGCAAAAAAAAAAUUAAAAAAAAAAAAAUGUAGUUACAUUUCCCUAUAAAGUCUGAACUGCUCUGCUGAAACUUUUAAAAGGCCCCAUGAAAAGUAUAUUUUUUAUGAGAUGAAUAUAUUCCAAAGAUAUCCAAACUAUCAUUGCCAAUUGGAAAGGAUUUAAAGAAAAACCAGGGGAUGAUAUUCCCAAAGCUCACUCCUUGAACCUUAACAAUUCCCAUCCCCUUGUUAUUUACACAAGACCUACUUGCCUUUCCUCUAUAUAAAUCCCUCUUCUGUGAGUAUGUUAUAGCAGAGUGAUUCACCUCUCCUUAUAAUGGUAAUCUGAGAUAUCUGAAAUUCAAGGCUCUGGCUAUUCAACAUAACUGGAAUUACAUUCAGUACCUAAAAAUUCUGACGUAUUUUAAAGUGAGCAAAAAAUUUAUACUUUAAAGGGAAACCUUUAAAUCAGGAAUAGUUAUGCAUUUGUAAAUACUACUUUUCAUCUCCCUUUGUAGUAAGGGUUCAGGUGAAGUAAACAAAUCUGUAGUAUCUUCUCAAGAAUUUGGAGCUUUGUCAGUUAUACUGGUUAAAGAUUUAAUUACUUGCAACUGGCAAAGCACACAGACAAGAAACAUUUGUUACUUUGUUAGUAAGUUAAUAUACAGUACCUACUUAGUGGCAAACUUACUUGCAAAAAUUACUUGGUACACUUUGUUUUCCUAAUAGGGAAAAGAAAAAAAAAAUACAGCGAGGCUAAAGAUAAAAAGUUAUUUUCUAGAUCAAAACUGGGUUGUAAAUACCAUAUCGACACUAUCACAUUCUUGACUAUAUUUCUGAAAGUGUGUUAGUCUGAACAGGUAUAAAACUAUCAUUACCAUAGUCAGAAUAAAAAUGAAUAAUGCAAAUGUAGUCUCUGUCUCAAAGAUGCUAGUAUGUUUAACAUAGGAAAAUCCAUUUGUGAUAUAUACAGUAUAUUAGAAAACCAUUAGAAACUCCUACUGUCCAACCAUGAAGAUGCUCUGUGAUUCUUUGUUCCAUCACUUAAUAGAGCACUUAAAAAUCUGGAGCAGUCAGAUUAAUCCCUUGCUGAAAUCGAUUUGUAACUACAGCAAAUUAACCACUGUAAUUUAAAAUGCCUAUAUAGGAAAACUUUUUGAUCAGUGAUCAAUUUAUUAUUAUUAUUAUUUUUAAUUCUGUUGUUUUAUAUUUGGAUACAAUAGAUAUGAAUCGUAAGUAUUGGAUCAUAUUACUAUUAUGAAGCUGUCUGUAUAUUAUAUAUAUGACAAUAAAUUAUUUAUUAUAUGUUUUAUGUAACUUAUAUGAUGUUUUAGUGUAUGAACUUGAGGAUAAAACUGCGUAUUUAAGACUAAAAAUUGAUGAAAUUCGUGAGGAAUAUUGUAAUUAUUUGAACCAUGACAUUGUAUGAUUAUGCAACUAUUAUGUGAAAUCACAUAAGGAAACAAGGGAUAUCUUCAUGACUUCCUAUAAUCACUCUGUUUUCUGUUAUCUUUUUAGAUAUUCUUUCAUAGCUUUGGAACUGAUCACAGGUCUCUUCUGAUUCAUAAAAUCAAAUCUUUCCACCUUGCCUACACUUACAAGACCUUUUAAGAAGCUUUUGAAAGGGAGUGAGAUGAAAUAACUUAAUGACUCUAACUUGCCUAAACUGUCAUAAUUAUCUCAUAUAAGCGAGCAAAAUGGUCAACAAUGAAGAAAAAUUGAAGUGUUUUCAGAAUCUAGAAAAUAAGUUGUUGUUAUUAAUAUUAAUAUUAACAUUAUUUUCCAG